UACUCCUACGGGAGGCAGCAGUAGGGAAUCUUCGGCAAUGGACGGAAGUCUGACCGAGCAACGCCGCGUGAGUGAAGAAGGUUUUCGGAUCGUAAAGCUCUGUUGUAAGAGAAGAACGAGUGUGAGAGUGGAAAGUUCACACUGUGACGGUAUCUUACCAGAAAGGGACGGCUAACUACGUGCCAGCAGCCGCGGUAAUACGUAGGUCCCGAGCGUUGUCCGGAUUUAUUGGGCGUAAAGCGAGCGCAGGCGGUUAGAUAAGUCUGAAGUUAAAGGCUGUGGCUUAACCAUAGUACGCUUUGGAAACUGUUUAACUUGAGUGCAAGAGGGGAGAGUGGAAUUCCAUGUGUAGCGGUGAAAUGCGUAGAUAUAUGGAGGAACACCGGUGGCGAAAGCGGCUCUCUGGCUUGUAACUGACGCUGAGGCUCGAAAGCGUGGGGAGCAAACAGGAUUAGAUACCCUGGUAGUCCACGCCGUAAACGAUGAGUGCUAGGUGUUAGACCCUUUCCGGGGUUUAGUGCCGUAGCUAACGCAUUAAGCACUCCGCCUGGGGAGUACGACCGCA
rnacentral:rRNA from 1 species